rnacentral:rRNA from 1 species
UACAGAGGCCUCAAGCGUAGUCGGCAUCCCUGGGCUUAAAGCGUGUGUAGGCGGAUCGUUAAGUGUCUUGUUAAAUCCCACGGCUCACCCGUGGAACUGCUGGGCAUACUGGCGAUCUUGGGCCAACUAGGGGCAGCCGGAACAAGCGGUGGAGCGGUGAAAUGCGUAGAUAUCGCUUGGAACGCCGAAGGUGAAAACAGGCUGCUGGGGUUGUGCCGACGCUGAGACACGAAAGCCAGGGGAGCAAACGGG